rnacentral:rRNA from 1 species
CGCGGCCUAUCAGCUUGUUGGUGAGGUAACGGCUCACCAAGGCAUCGACGGGUAGCUGGUCUGAGAGGAUGAUCAGCCACACUGGGACUGAGACACGGCCCAGACUCCUACGGGAGGCAGCAGUAGGGAAUCUUGCGCAAUGGGCGAAAGCCUGACGCAGCAACGCCGCGUGGGGGAUGAAUGCCUUCGGGUUGUAAACCCCUUUCAGCAGGGACGAAAUUGACGGUACCUGCAGAAGAAGGUCCGGCCAACUACGUGCCAGCAGCCGCGGUAAUACGUAGGGACCAAGCGUUGUCCGGAAUUAUUGGGCGUAAAGAGCUCGUAGGCGGUUCAGUAAGUCGGGUGUGAAAACUCAAGGCUCAACCUUGGGACGCCACUCGAUACUGCUGUGACUUGAGUCCGGUAGAGGAGUGUGGAAUUCCUGGUGUAGCGGUGAAAUGCGCAGAUAUCAGGAGGAACACCAGCGGCGAAGGCGGCACUCUGGGCCGGUACUGACGCUGAGGAGCGAAAGCAUGGGGAGCAAACAGGAUUAGAUACCCUGGUAGUCCAUGCCGUAAACGUUGGGCACUAGGUAUGGGACCAUAUCAACGGGUUCCGUGCCGUAGCUAACGCAUUAAGUGCCCCGCCUGGGGAGUACGG